rnacentral:lncRNA from 1 species
AGGGAGGAGGGAUGGGCGGAGCCAGAGCAAAAGCAGUCACCCAAUCAGAGGGAAACCUUGGCGCCAGCUUCCCUGUCCCCGCCCUUUUCCUUUCCUCCGCGGCAGUGCGCGGUCUCCCGCCCACUGGGCGCCGCUGGCUAGCUCCGCCACAGAGAAAAGCCUCCAGCCGGGUAGAGAAACGACUCCCAGUCGGAAGUUACGGUUGAAGCCCAGGCAGCCAUAAUUGAUGAUGGCAGGAGGCGUUUCCUGUCACCCGUUUGACGUACGCUUUUCCUGCAUUUGGUUCCCCGUUACCCCAGGCAACAGCAGAGCCGUCUGGAAAGGGAUGCACCUGUAAGUAUACUUACGGAGGAUGUGCACACACACAGUCCACACUGGGCGAGUUAAUUCGCGCUCGGGAACUGCAGGUUUGCUUGCCAGACCCUUUACGGAGCCGCCUGAUCGCUUACCUAGAACUACAGUUUAGGGCUUCAAAACUCCCUCGCGCCGGAAGUUGCGCUUGGCACUUCCUAGUAGGGUCAUGGCCAGGAGGUGGGAGUAGCCGGACCCCGCCUGCGCCCCAGGGGGUGCCUCCUCUCCCAGAGCUGAAGAGUGAGACAUUGUCUCAUGUAGUUCCUUCUGUGGACGUUUGGAGUCAAGAAGUCAAUCGUUCUGAUAACUACAGAUCGGAUUCCUAAAGGUGCAAGAAAAAAAAAAAAGAACAAUUUUCAGAGCAGAGAGAACAGGAAUAAAGUCUGAAGAUAAGUUCUGCA